GUUGACGACUAGCUGAAUGAAAGAAUGAAUGAACAAAUGAAUGAAGGAAUGAACAAAUGAUCUAAGGCCUUCUCAGAUCUGAAGCCGCACUCCCAGCACAGGCCAUGGGAAGGGCAUGGAGAUGAAUUCCAGCCCCACCUCUGCACCCACUUCUCUGAGUGACCUCAAUUCCACUCCACUCCAACGAUCCUAUCUGUGCCAGACACUGGGAUGAGUGUUGACAAGACAGACCUAAAUGACACAAGGGUCUUUGGCAUCACGUGUGCUAGAAUCCAGAAAGCAAGAUCUGACCCACAAGGUCCAUCGUGGCUGGA
rnacentral:lncRNA from 1 species